UGCGUAGGCGGGCUAAUAAGUCAGUGGUGAAAUCUCUCGGCUCAACCGGGAAACUGCCAUUGAUACUGUUAGUCUUGAGUUCGGUUGAGGUAGGCGGAAUGUGUAAUGUAGCGGUGAAAUGCUUAGAUAUUACACAGAACACCAAUUGCGUAGGCAGCUUACUAGACCGACACUGACGCUGAGGCACGAAAGCGUGGGGAGCGAACAGGAUUAGAUACCCUGGUAUCC
rnacentral:rRNA from 1 species